GCCGGGAUAGCUCAGUUGGUAGAGCACCUCACUGAAAAUGAGGGUGUCCCCAGUUCGAGUCUGGGUCCUGGCA
rnacentral:tRNA from 1 species